rnacentral:rRNA from 1 species
CCCUAUGGGGUGCAGCCGGCAGACGGCGCUAAAUGACAGACUGGUGAAUUUCAUUUCUUCUUUCCUGCCAUGUAUUUGUCAAGAUCAUCCUUUGAUUUCUGGGCGUUCAGAGCGUCCUUCACCUCUUCAUAGUUAUCGCGGUCGUAAGUAUGGUCAUAGGCGUACUUGGCGAAGCUCAGUCUUGACGUUUCCAUGUUGAAGAGGUUGAUAACCUCCUUCACCUGCCAAACCGUCAGGCAAUGGGUGUCGGCCAUCUUUUUGGCCGCAGUCAGCUGCGAUCCUUCAAAGGGAUGCGAAGAGAUGCCAGCCAGCGCAACGGCAAAUUCAGCCUCCUGCAUGGGGUUGUCGCAUCCGCCCGUCGCGGAGGACUUGCUGUUCCCGCUAUUGCCGGAUCCUUGCUCCUUUUGUUCCUGCCCGGCAGGUUCGGCCGGCGGCGGAACAGGCUUCGGCACAUCUUCAUCCAGCCAUUCGGAGC